CCUACGGGAGGCAGCAGUAGGGAAUCUUCCGCAAUGGACGAAAGUCUGACGGAGCAACGCCGCGUGAGUGAUGAAGGUUUUCGGGUCGUAAAACUCUGUUGUUAGGGAAGAACAAGUGCUAGUUGAAUAAGCUGGCACCUUGACGGUACCUAACCAGAAAGCCACGGCUAACUACGUGCCAGCAGCCGCGGUAAU
rnacentral:rRNA from 1 species